rnacentral:sRNA from 1 species
GCUGGGUUUGGUGGCACAGGUCUGUAAUCCCAGCUACUUGGGAAGCUGAGGCAGGACCAGGAGGCUCACAAGUUUGAGGCCAGCCUGGGCAAUUCAGGGAGCAUCCCAUCUUAAAAAACAAAACAAAACAAAACACUGUUGUGAGGCCCCCCCAGGCAAGACCCAGCCCUCCCAGGCAAGGCCUUGCUAAGGCUGGCCUCUAAAUUGCAAUCUCCUGCUUCAGCCUCCC